rnacentral:rRNA from 1 species
UUCUGGCUCAGGAUGAACGCUGGCGGCGUGCCUAACACAUGCAAGUCGAACGGGGUUAAGUGAAAUUUCGGAUGGACCUUAACUAGUGGCGGACGGGUGAGUAACGCGUGGAUAACCUGCCUCACACUGGGGGAUAGCAGCUGGAAACGGCUGGUAAUACCGCAUAAGACCACGGCACCGCAUGGUGCAGGGGUAAAAGAUUUAUCGGUGUGAGAUGGAUCCGCGUCUGAUUAGCCAGUUGGCGGGGUAACGGCCCACCAAAGCGACGAUCAGUAGCCGGCCUGAGAGGGUGAACGGCCACAUUGGGACUGAGACACGGCCCAAACUCCUACGGGAGGCAGCAGUGGGGAAUAUUGCACAAUGGGCGCAAGCCUGAUGCAAGCAACGCCGCGUGAGUGAAGAAGUAUUUCGGUAUGUAAAGCUCUAUCGGCAGGGAAGAAAGGCCCGAAAGGGAGAUGACGGUACCUGACUAAGAAGCCCCGGCUAACUACGUGCCAGCCGCCGC